GUACUGCUUCCUCUAAAUGCAGCCUCUGAAAGGAAGCAAAAUGUCUUCCUGUAAAGAUCGGACAAAGCACCCGGUGGAUAUAUUGUUUUACAACAGAACCGAGAGCGAGGGUGAAACUGUAAACACGCGUUGAGUCUGACGUCGGCUUUGGACACGAAUGCAAGCAGGAAGACAGGUGGUGUUUUCCCAGCUUCCCGCCCACUCCGCGAAGGAGUUAGGAGGAGGCUUUUUGAGCAGGCAGCCGGACUUUGGAUCCAUAUAACUUUUUAAAAAGAACCUUAAGUGGUAGCCAGACUUGCACAGAUCCUUGCAGAGAUUUAACAUAUUUGCGGUGUGUGAAGAGUCCAACAUGGAAACAGAGAAAGAAAAACAAAGGCCUCCUAACAGCCAGUUAAUUUCCGUGCCUCCCAAGGAUACAGCCCGUCUCCUGGAGGUAUACGUAAAACGUAGCCUCAGCCUAAAUGAUGGCACUCAUGGGCUUAAAGUGGCUGGGAGGAAAGAAAAAUGGGUGACGGUGCCAAAAAGACAAAGACAUCAUUCCAGUGACCCCUCCCUUCACUUGGCCCCUUCACUUGAGAAUGUGGAUAGAAAAGAAAUUGAUACGUUCUAUCCGGUUGAACAUGUACCAAACCAACCCGAGAAAUGUCCCGAAGAACCAGAGAAACCGACAAAAAAAUCAAAAAAGAUCAAGAAAACCUCAUUUUGGAAAAAUAUAAUUGGCUUUUUCACCCGGAAGGACAAUGAGGAUAAAGACGACGAGCAGGACAGUCCACCAGACAUGUCCAAUUCCUCUGAGACAGUAACUACCUGCUUGCCCAUUACACCAGUCACUUUACCAAAGAAGUCAACGAGAAAAAAGUCCCUAAGAAGAAGAUUCUCAAAAAGGCAGCUAUCUCUGAUAAAACCAAACAAACCUGCUGACAUCACAGGAGUUGAAGCUGUUGUCAGUGUAACACCAACAGACUCUUAUUAUGAGAAGGUGUCAGAGGAACUGGAAAAAAUUGUCCAUGAGGUCAAAGAAAAAGAAGAGGUUGCACCACUAUCAGAUGAGGAAGUAAUUAACAGGAUCAUUGCUCUGAUGAAGGAACAGGGUGAUGCCAUAGAUGUCAAGAUGAAAGAUAACCCCACCCUGAGCUACUUCUUUCAGCAGAUGACAUACUCUUCCUUCCAAAAGCUUGCUGAUGCAUAUGUUGAGAAAGAAGGUUCAUCGACCCAAAAACCUCCAACUGUCUUACCAACAGCACCUGAGCUGGUCAAAUUGGCCUUCACACUUGACUUCACAGCCAGGAUAGCCGGACUCUCCAAACAGAAUGUAGGCCACAUUACUGGUCUGGGAAACCGUUAUCUACAGGACCGAUUUAAAUACAGACAGGCAUGCACAGAUCAUCCCUGGUCUGACAGUGAUGACUGAGAAGCAGCCAAGCAGAAACAUUGCUGCACAUUCAAAUUUGACAACCCCUCUUAGCACUGCAGAUGUGGUUAAGGAUGUAUUGCACACCUGAGUUCCUCUUUACAAAGGGGAUGGCCAAGAAAUGCUUUAGGCCUGCAAAGAGACACAUGCUGUAAUCUAUGUUAGGUUUUCUUAAUACUGUUUUUGAGUGCUUGUUAAACUAUAAAUUUGCAACAGAAUGACUGCUGAGAAAACUGUUUGGGUGUUGUUUGAGUGCAUGAGUGUUGUCUUUCACAUUAAAGUUCAACUGAGAUAUUACUAAACUACUAACAAACACAGCUGGUUUCGCAAAACUAAAAAACUGUGGCAUUUUGCUAGGUUGAAUUGUGUAUGUGAAUUUGUAAAAAUGUGAAAGAUCAGUGCAAUUUUUUAUGUAUAAGCUAAAUAACUUGGUGCAAGGUUCUUGAAUAUUUUGGUAUUCUAAAAUGUGACUGAUGUUUGUUUUUCAUGAAUGCUGGCAUUCAUAUUAAAUACUAAAAAGAUGUUUAUAUUUUUUUCAUUGAGAAUUGAUGUAUAUCUAAAGGCCGGCUUAAUUUAAGAUCAACUUGAUAAUAAAAACAGCAAAAAUUAAGACUUGCAUCCCCUUAAUUUGUUGGAAAAAUAAGUAUUGUGAAGAGUAUUCAAGAAAAUUCAUUAUCCUUCCACCACCUAUGAAACAGAAGAAUUAAGCUAAUAGAACACAUCAAACAUCAGCCU
ensembl:lncRNA